rnacentral:rRNA from 1 species
AACGCGAAGAACCUUACCUGGGCUCGAAAUGCAGGAGACCGGGGUAGAAAUAUCCUUUCCCCGCAAGGGGCUGCUGUAUAGGUGCUGCAUGGCUGUCGUCAGCUCGUGUCGUGAGAUGUUGGGUUAAGUCCCGCAACGAGCGCAACCCUCAUCCCUAGUUGCCACCGGGUCAAGCCGAGCACUCUAGUGAAACCGCCCCGGAUAACGGGGAGGAAGGUGGGGAUGACGUCAAGUCCUCAUGGCCUUUAUGUCCAGGGCUACACACGUGCUACAAUGGUCGGUACAAACCGUCGCAAAGCUGCAAAGUGGAGCUAAUCGGAAAAAGCCGGCCUCAGUUCGGAUUGGAGUCUGCAACUCGACUCCAUGAAGCUGGAAUCGCUAGUAAUCGCAGAUCAGAACGCUGCGGUGAAUACGUUCCCGGGCCUUGUA